GCUUCUGGUACUGCAAAUACAGAUCUCCCGUCAACACACCCAAUCUGUUUUGGCCUAGCCCUCAACUUCUCCAUCUUUUACUACGAGAUAAUUAAUUCUCCUGAAAGGGCCUGCCAUUACAAGCUUUUGAUGAGGCAAUUGCAGAGUUAGACACAGUGAGUGAGGACUCAUACAAGGACAACACCCUGAAAAUUUGGUUAUACCAUUCUGCUUGUUGCUUGCCAUAACCCUUGUAACAAUGAGAAGAAGAAUGGGGAAGAGCUUGAAUUUCCUCCCAGUUUGCCAAGAUAUUUAACCGCUUUAUAGGUGGUGCCAGGAGAGCAUCUUAGUGUAUUAUGUCUUCAAUUGAGCAGAAGGAAGAGUCAAAGGGAAAUGAGAAAAACGUUAAGCUGAUUAAGGGUUACUGCCAGAAUGUAGAAGAGGAACCCUCUUCCAGCUCCGGAGAAGCCACUGUAUUCUUCUAUAAUAUGAGAGGUGACUACUACCGGUAUCUUGCUGAAUUUUAAGACUGAUCAGGAAAGGAAUGAGGCUGCUGAACAGUCACUGAAAGGCUAUGAGGCAUGUCCACAUCUAUUGACAUGACUCUUUGACAACCUCUACACGAAAUGCAUGGCUGCUUCUGGUACUGCAAAUACAGAUCUCCCUUCAACAAACCCAAUCCGUUUUGGCCUAGCUCUCAACUUCUCCAUCUUUUACUACAGAGAUAAUUAAUUCUCCUGAAAGGGCCUGCCAAAGAUUUGUUAUACAAUGAAAUUGGGAUCUUUAACAAACAAUUUGAGGGCCAUUCCAAAUCUAAUCUUGGUUUUCACUAAAAAAAUUAAAAUAAAAACGUGUAGUUAUUGGUACUGUUUUGUUUCGUAAAAUGCAAAAUAGUAAAUUGAUGAAGAAUGGUCUGAUAAGAAGAGAAAAUGUGAGGUGCAUGUUGAUGCGAAGAUAUUGUGCUGUUGCAGUUGGUUCUACCAUUCUGCUUGUUGCUUACCAUAACCCUUGUAACAAUGAGAAGAAAAAUGGGGAAGAGCUUGAAUUUCCUCCCAGUUUGCCAAGAUAUUUAAUCGCUUUAUGUUCCUUUCAGCUUCUUUUAAUUUUUAAUUUUUUUAUAGAAGCAUGUUUGAGUUAUGAAAGUUAAUAUCGGAUGUCUAUGUUCUGGUGCAGGUGAUGACAGCUUUAAAGGUGAAGAAGCCAAAGCUGCAGGACCAGAGCAUUAAUGGAGUAACCAAGAGCAUCACAUGAGGCAGUUGAAAACAGAAUACUAUGCAAAGUCGCUUUUUUCAGUUUUUUUUCUCGCGAAGGGAAGCAUGGGACAGUGUAAAAGGCAUCUUACAAUCCUUUUGUGCCAUUGAAAAGCCAGAAAAUGACUAGAAUUCUAGGGCUGACCUGCCACAUUUUUGUUUCUAAGUUGUUUCCUUUGUGGACCUUGCCUUUGCUUCUGCUACUUCAUGUUCUCCAUAGUGAAUUUCUUAUCCAAUCGGGAAAAAUAUAUUUUCAAUUUUCUCAGCUUUCAAAGUAUAAUUGCAGGGAAAAUAUAUUUUCAAUUUUCGCA